AAUAAGCGCAGUCGUGGGUUUCAGUGUCCAAUUUUGACCAUCCGUCUUAUUUAAAAUAUUUUUAUGAUUAGUAUUUUUAUUGUUAUUAGAUGAUAAAAUAUUUAUAGUACUUUAUGCGUGACUUAACUUUUAAAUUUUUUUCAUAAAAUUUUCAAAUAAAAAAAGAUCAAAUAUUGGCACAGAAACUUACGGCUGCACUUAUA
rfam:Oryza glumipatula chromosome 1, whole genome shotgun sequence.